CGGGUGAGUAAUGCCUAGGAAUNUGCCUGGUAGUGGGGGACAACGUUUCGAAAGGAACGCUAAUACCGCAUACGUCCUACGGGAGAAAGCAGGGGACCUUCGGGCCUUGCGCUAUCAGAUGAGCCUAGGUCGGAUUAGCUAGUUGGUGAGGUAAUGGCUCACCAAGGCGACGAUCCGUAACUGGUCUGAGAGGAUGAUCAGUCACACUGGAACUGAGACACGGUCCAGACUCCUACGGGAGGCAGCAGCG
rnacentral:rRNA from 1 species